GACGAACGCUGGCGGCGUGCUUAACACAUGCCAGUCGAACGGUAAGGCCCCUUCGGGGGUACACGAGUGGCGCACGGGUGAGUAACACGUGAGCAACCUGCCCUUGACUCUGGAAUAACAGUUGGAAACAGCUGCUAAUACUGGAUAUUCAUCGUCUCCUUCCUGGGGGGUGGUGGAAAGCUCCGGCGGUCAGGGAUGGGCUCGCGGCCUAUCAGCUUGUUGGUGAGGUAAUGGCUCACCAAGGCUUCGACGGGUAGCCGGCCUGAGAGGGCGACCGGCCACACUGGGACUGAGAUACGGCCCAGACUCCUACGGGAGGCAGCAGUGGGGAAUAUUGCACAAUGGGCGCAAGCCUGAUGCAGCAACGCCGCGUGCGGGAUGACGGCCUUCGGGUUGUAAACCGCUUUCAGUAGGGACGAAGGGUGACUGACGGUACCUACAGAAGAAGGACCGGCUAACUACGUG
rnacentral:rRNA from 1 species